rfam:Lysinibacillus macroides strain DSM 54 Scaffold4, whole genome shotgun sequence.
UCUAGUGAUAAUGGCAAAGAGGUCACACCCGUUCCCAUCCCGAACACGGAAGUUAAGCUCUUUCGCGCCGAUGGUAGUUGGGGGCUUCCCCCUGUGAGAGUAGGACAUCGCUAGGC